AAUAGAUCCCGGGUAGUCCAUGCCGUAAACGAUGUGUACUCGAUGUUCGUCCUACAUUGUAGGAUGAGUGUCUAAGCAAACGCGGUAAGUACACCGCCUGGGGAGUACGGUCGCAAGGCCAAAACUCAAAGGAAUUGACGGGGGCCCGCACAAGCAGCGGAGCGUGUGGUUUAAUUCGAGGUUACGCGAAGAACCUUACCUGGACUUGACAUAGUGGUGGUAGGGAACCGAAAGGGGACCGACCUUCGGGAGCCAUUACAGGUGCUGCAUGGCUGUCGUCAGCUCGUGUCGUGAGAUGUUCGGUUAAGUCCGAAACGAGCGCAACCCUUGGCGUGUGUUACAAGUGUCACACGCGACUGCCCGUGACAAACGGGAGGAAGGUGGGGAUGACGUCAAGUCAGCAUGGCCUUUAUGUCCAGGGCUACACACACGCUACAAUGGGCGGUACAAUGGGUCGCGAAGCCGCGAGGCGGAGCCAAUCCUAAAAGCCGUUCGUAGUUCGGAUUGCAGGCUGCAACUCGCCUGCAUGAAGUCGG
rnacentral:rRNA from 1 species